UGGCUCUGGCAUCGAUGAAGAACGCAGCGAAAUGCGAUAAGUAAUGUGAAUUGCAGAAUUCAGUGAAUCAUCGAAUCUUUGAACGCACAUUGCGCCCGCCAGCAUUCUGGCGGGCAUGCCUGUCCGAGCGUCAUUUCAACCCCUCAGGCCCUGGUGCCUGGCGUCGGGGCCCUUCCCUCGCGGGAAGCCCCUAGAACCAGUGGCGGACCCGCCGCGGCUCCGAGCGCAGUAGUGAUUUUCUCGCUCCGGAGGCCAGCGGCGCCGGCCCCCGGCCGUAAAAAAGCCCAUAACACCCAAGGUUGACCUCGGAUCAGGUAGGAAUACCCGCUGA
rnacentral:misc_RNA from 1 species